rnacentral:tRNA from 1 species
GCUUCAGUGGCUUAGUUGGUUAAGCAUCAGACUCUUGAUCUCAGAUCAGGUCAUGACCUCACAGUCGUGAGUUCAAGCCCCAUAUGUAGCA